UUCAACCGGACUCUCCAAGGCAGGUGUGAACGCACCCUCUUGUUUAGAGAAGUCUCGCACUGAAAUCUCACACUCUCUCACAUUGUUGAAAGCAGCUAUAUACUUAGCCAUCUUUCUGUACGUUAACAAACUCUAAGAAAACCAGAACCCUUUGCUUCAAUUUUCACUCACAUUUUCACUGCGGUUUUCCCCAGCAACAAGUCACAUGACACCACCACAAACAGACCCAAUCAAGUCAAAACUUAAAAAAAGUUAAUUAUCUGUUGGGUCGUUUUCAAAAUGUUUUCAUAUACAUAUAAAAACAAUGCCCUGUGAAAUGACUUUGCAGGUCAUUUAGCGACUGCAGCAUUCCUUGCGCAAUAUUGGACAAAUUUAAAACAUUGUCACUGAAACACAAAAAUUAUAGGGGCUACGUUAAAAAAAUAUUCAAGUUACCCUGUAAAGAUGUCCUAACAAUAUUAUCAGUAAUUCACACCAGUCAUUAUGCAACUCUGCCACUAUACUAGCAGAACCAUUCGCCCCCUCUGAGUCCCCCCCAGCCGAGCUAACAGAGCCCCCUGCAGCUGUUGAGGAGAGCGAACCUACAGCAGCGGCAGCAGCAGAAAGCUUCGCAGCAGAGCCCGCCGAGCCUCAGCCUGAAGCUGUGGCAGAGAGCGCAGCAGAGCCAGUGGUAGAAGCCCCCCCAGAGGAGGCAGCUGAACCCCCUGCUGCUCCUGUAGUGGAGGAGGCAGAACCCUCCGCCCCCUGUGAGCCCCCCCCAGCCGAGCUAACAGAGCCCCCUGCAGCUGUUGAGGA